GGAGGUAAACUCAAACGAUGUAUAGCCCAAAAAAGAAGACUGGUAGCACUUGGAGCCCAUUGUAAUAUUGUUUUCUAAAAUACGCUGUGUAUUGUUUGAAAAUGAUGAUGGGGUGAGCGUGGAUGCACAUAUUGUGACAUACUCUGACAUAGUAGAUGCUGGAUGCAUUCGAGUCAGCUCUAUUCUUGUUGUCAAGUGCAGACACAGUUCUUCUCAUUUUUGUAUUGCACUUCUUUCAAGAAGGGUUAAUAUAAUUAGUAUUAAUGAAUAUAAUGUGAAUGAGGAUGGAAAAAGAAAAGUUCAUUUUAUUUUACUAUAUAUAAAUAAUGUCUAGUUUGAUCACAAAUAAAACAUGAACUGCGGAAGAUCAAGAAUCUAGACUUCAGCGCUAGCCAUUGCAUCAAUUAUGUUGUAAAAUAUAUCGAUUCCACGAAUAAAAGUAUUCUCAUUCAACCUCUCAUUAUGGUCAUGCAGUAGCAUGGGUGUAUUG
rnacentral:lncRNA from 1 species